AGAGGGGAAGUGAAUGACCAACUGGGUAGGCUGAUGAAUAUUUUCCUGGUAAAUGCAUAACUUUCCCCACAACUGUGAUGCUUUAUCCUUUGACAUUAAGAAUGCUGUUUGCAGAAGUAACAUUCCUUUGAACACUCAGCUUUCUGAAAUGGUGUCCCACCGCAAGGACUGGAGAAGGGUAAACCUCAGGUUCUCCUCCUGCCUUUUGCUAAGUAUAUGUCUUGAUGACAAGCCUUCUGCUGAUGAGCUGUGUUUCUGGACCGAUCAUGGUAGAAGUCAAUUAACGUGUCCCUCACUUGGGGUUUCUCAAGGACAAGGUCUUAUUAUGUUGCCCAGACUAGUCUCCAACUCCUGGCCUCAAGUGAUCUCCCUGUCUCAGCCUCCCAAAGUGCUGGGAUUAAAGCUGCACUGAUGAGGAAACUGAAACAGAAAAUCCAGAGUAAAUUCCACCAGGCCACACAGCAAGGUCUGAUAGAGCCAGGAGAGACUUUAUGAAAUCCAGACUCUCACACUAAUGCUCUAUCAGCUAGACCUCCAUGUGAGUCUCCCCAAUGUAGGUAGGAAGUGCUUUCCCUAAAAUGCUCAUAAAGCAAAUCAGAGCAAUGCUGCAUUCCAUGUGAUUUCUAAUUUGAAAUGCAAACAAUUGCCAAUUUGUUUGACUUGUAUUUAUAAUUAUUUCCUUGUGAAUUACUCAUCACUAAAUGCUUUA
ensembl:lncRNA TEX41 testis expressed 41